rnacentral:rRNA from 1 species
GAUGAACGCUAGCGGCAGGCCUAAUACAUGCAGGUCGGACGGGAUUGGGGAGCUUGCUCCCCAUGAGAGUGGCGCACGGGUGCGUAACACGUAUGUAACCUACCCUUGUCAGGGGGAUAGCCUCUCGAAAGAGAGAUUAACACCGCAUAACAUUAUUGGAUGGCAUCAUUUAAUAAUCAAAUAUUUAUAGGACAAGGAUGGGCAUGCGGGACAUUAGCUAGUUGGUAGGGUAACGGCUUACCAAGGCUACGAUGUCUAGGGGAUCUGAGAGGAUGGCCCCCCACCAUGGUACUGAGACACGGACCAGACUCCGACGGGAGGCAGCAGUAAGGAAUCUGUGUCAAUGGGCGCAAGGCUGAACCAGCCAUGCCGCGUGCAGGAAGACGGCCCUACGGGUUGUAAACUGCUUUUGCGCCGGAAUAAACCCUUUUACGAGUAAGAGGCUGAAUGUACGGCGAGAAUAAGGAUCGGCUAACUCCGUGCCAGCCGCCGCAGUAA